rnacentral:tRNA from 1 species
GGAGAGAUGUCGGAGUGGUCUAUCGUGCACGACUCGAAAUCGUGUGUGCGUUAAAAGCGCACCGUGGGUUCAAAUCCCACUCUCUCCG